UGCCCUCUGUGGUGUUCGCCGACAGGCCCGACAAAUGCCUUGUCCCUAUUUAUUGACCUCGGGUUGGCGUAUCUGAAUGCUGGUGUGCAUGUUCGCUAAAAGCGAAAAGCCUAAAGGCCAGUCAGCCAUCCCACCUGAACCUUUGGUUCAAGGUCUCCGGGUCCGUAGCGGCACCCCCGGAGGGCAC
rnacentral:other from 1 species